rnacentral:rRNA from 1 species
UACGUAGGGCGCAAGCGUUGUCCGGAAUUAUUGGGCGUAAAGAGCUCGUAGGCGGCUUGUCACGUCGGAUGUGAAAGCCCCGAGGCUUAACCUCGGGUCCUGCAUUCGAUACGGGCUAGCUGGAGUGUGGUAGGGGCAAGCGGAAUCCUGGUGUAGCGGUGAAAAUGCGCAGAUAUCAGGAGGAACACCUAUUGCGAAGGCGGCAUCCUGGCCGACAUUGACGCUGAUGAGCGAAAGCUAGGGGGAGCAAACGGGGAUUAGAAAACCCCAGU